rnacentral:rRNA from 1 species
GCCAGCAGCAUAUCACCCUGCAACUCACGACUGGCAGCCCACUGAAGCUUAGCAGGUGUGAGCCUGGUCAGUACCUGGAUGGGAGACCUCCUGGGGAAAAACUAAGGUUGCUGCUGGAA